CAGUCUUUACUGAUGUCUGUGAAAAACACACCUGCCAGAAGAGAUAAACGAAAACAAUCACAUAAGAAGAGGUGCUUUGAGAUCCUGGGAGGGUGAUAUGAUUUGGCUCUGCAUCCCCACCCAAAGCUCACCUUAAUUCUAAUAAUCCCCACAUGUCAAGGGCAGGACUCAGUGGGAGGUAUUUGAAUUAUGUGGGAGGUGUCCCUUGCUAUUCUCAUAAUAGUGAAUGAGAUCUGAUGGUUUUAUAAGCUUCUGGCAGUUCCCCUGUUGGCACUCACUCUCUCUCCAGUACUCUGUGAAGAGGUGCCUUCUCCAUGAUUCUGCUCUGUGAAGAGGUGCUUUCUCCAUGAUUGCAAGUUUCCUCAUUCUCUCUCCAGCCACUCUGUGAAGAGGUGCUUUCUCCAUGAUUGCAAGUUUCCUCAUUCUCUCUCCAGCCAUUCUGUGAAGAGGUACCUUCUCCAUGAUUGUAAGUUUCCUGAAGCCUCCCCAGCCAUGGGGAACUGUGAUUCAAUGAAACUUCUUUUCUUUAUAAACUACAUAGUCUCAGGUAUUUCUUCACAGCAUCAUGAGAACAGGCCAAUACAGAGGGAUAUGGGACG
rnacentral:lncRNA from 1 species